rnacentral:rRNA from 1 species
AUGAUUUUUUUUCUAAAAUAUUUGAGAAUUAUUGGCACUGAGAACACAUCAGGGGGAGCAGCCACCUGGCCACGAGGGUGCAGGGCGCACCCACCCUUUGGGCACGCCCCCUGCCUCAUGGGCCCCUCGUGGCCCCCUCCACUUAUUCUUGAACCCACACACUUCGUCUUCUUCCAGAAAAAUCAUCCACCAGCUCAAACCCGAGUUCUAACUCAUCUUGCUGCCAUUUUCGAUCUCCUUGCUCAAAGCUCCAUUCACAAAACUGCUUUGGGGGAUUGUUCUUCGGUAUGUGACUCCUUCAAUGGUCCAAUUAGUUUUUGUUCUAGUGCUUUAUUUAUUGCAAAUUUUUGCUGCUUAGGUGACCCUGUUCUUGAGCUUGCAUGUCACAUUUAUAUGGUCCCAAGUAGUUCUAAUGCAUGA